GCCUGGCUGGCUCAGUCGGUAGAGCAUGCGACUCUUGAUCUGGGGGUCAUGAGUUCAAGCCCCAUGUUGGGCA
rfam:Canis lupus familiaris chromosome 2, whole genome shotgun sequence.